GCAGUAGCCGCGGUGAUGCGUAGGUGGCAAGCGUUGUCCGGAAUUAUUGGGCGUAAAGGGCUCGCAGGCGGUUUCUUAAGUCUGAUGUGAAAGCCCCCGGCUCAACCGGGGAGGGUCAUUGGAAACUGGGAAACUUGAGUGCAGAAGAGGAGAGUGGAAUUCCACGUGUAGCGGUGAAAUGCGUAGAGAUGUGGAGGAACACCAGUGGCGAAGGCGACUCUCUGGUCUGUAACUGACGCUGAGGAGCGAAAGCGUGGGGAGCGAACAGGAUUAGAGAACCCAGUAGUCCCUGUCUCUUAUAC
rnacentral:rRNA from 1 species